GAGCACUCUGGAGAGGAGACACAUCAGAGCAUGCCCAGCUGCACAAGCUCUUGUGCACUGUGCUGAUUUUACAGCCAAGAUUCAAGUAACUUGAAAUUUUACCCUGAACACGCUGACCUCCACAACGUGUCCAAAGAGGUUUCAGCCUAGACAUGAGGCGAAGGUCUGGUUUCCUGUCUCUCUGAUGGACGUGCAGAGGCCAAGUCCGUACAUCAGCACCACAUCUAUAAAUCAACUCCCGGCGCCUCAUCUUGUUUGGAAAUGAAAGUCUUUAUUGAUUUUGGCUCCAACUGUACAUCCGUCUCCAAUUUGUACCCCAUCCCUCCUUUUCUGAAGCACACUUUAUUAAGCCAACUAUCCAUCUCUAGGCCUUGCUCACCAUGAAUUUAUAAGUGUUUGAUAUUUAUUUAUUUUUUAAGCCUUAAUGUUCCCAUGGGUAAAGAACACUGAAACAAACAGAUUUCAUUUCAGAAUGGUUCUUGGUGACUUGGGGUUGCGUUAGUUGUAAAAUGUAUGGGGGGUGGUGUAACGAUUUUAAUCGUAAGAUUUAUAACUGUUGUAAAAAAUAAGUUGUAAAGCAAGAAAACUCAUACAUGCAUAAAACACGGUGUACACUGUCA